AAUGAACGUUGGCGGCGUGGAUUAGGCAUGCAAGUCGCGCGACAAGGAACCUUCGGGUUCUGGAGGAGCGGCAAACGGGGUAGUAAGGCAUCGGAACGUACCCUCUUGUUGGGAAUAGCCGCGGGAAACUGCGAGUAAUGCCCAAUAAUCCCUACGGGGCAAAGGUCCGCCGCAGGAGGAGCGGCCGAUGUGAUACCAGCUAGUUGGUGAGGUAAUGGCUCACCAAGGCUUAGACGUCUAGGGGGUGUGAGAGCAUGGCCCCCCACCACUGGGACGUGAGAUACUGCCCACGACACCUACGGGUGGGCUGCAGUCGAGAAU
rnacentral:rRNA from 1 species